AAUUAGAUCUCUAUAGUUCUAUAGCAUAGCUAUAUAGGAAUAGAUGUACAAGGAGUCAAGUUAAUCUUAGAGUCCGGAUCUAUCUUUGUUCUAGUAAACUCUUAUUCUUCUUUGUGAUAUUUAUAUUAGUUCUUGUUACUACGAAUAUGACUUUGAUCUAUUUGAUUAUAUCGGAAUUGACUUUAUUCUAUUUGCUUAUGUUCUUAAUUAUAUUGUUAUUAGUCUACUUUAAUUAUAUGCUUAGCGUAGUUAGAUUAGAAUUAUGUUUAUGCAUAGGAUCGUAUAGCGCUUACUCAUUAGGCCGAUGGGUAAGUGGUAGAUAUUGUGUAGGCUAGGUGCCUAGACCGUAUUUAUCUGCGAUUACCCCUUAUAGUCCAGAGCCUGAGGUAGAUCGCAGGAGUGACAGUCCUAUUGAGUCCUUUGUAUUCCUCCUCCUGAUUAUAAGGCUUGUAGAGCAUCAUUAUUAUAGGGAAGUGAUUGCUAUGUUCAUGAUCUUUCUUGCUAAUAUCACUAUGCAUAGAUAUAACCUUUUCUUACGAUGAUGCUAGGUGUACUUGCACUAAUCAAUGUAUGCUUUGACAGUAUAGUUAGAAUACUUAGGAUUUAUUCUUGUAGAUCGUCCUAGUCCAUUCUAGUGCUAUAGACUUAGAGUAAUCUAAUUGAGAUGAUUAUCAUAUUUAUCAUAUGGCUAUGAAUUCUUAUUUGUCAUCUGUCACUUAUUAUUCAUAUUUAUAUAUUUAUCUUAUGUGACACUUACCCUACAUGAGAGAUAGAUAAAGACAUGGUUAAGAUCUUCAUGAUUACAUGCAGUGCUCAUUGCUCAUUAUCCAUUGCAAGUCCCUUCCCAGUGGUAAAAAUAUAAAUAACGAUACCUGGAUUACUCGCGGUUAAAAUGCUACAUCGGUAUUAUCUGUGCGCUUGAGGAUCUUUUAAUUAUUUAUUUAUUCAU
rnacentral:lncRNA from 1 species